CUAGUUGUACCAAUAACUAACCCCAAGGAAUUGGACUCAGAAGAGCAAUACAAAUUGCAGCCUUGCCACUUACGAGCUGAGAGAUCUUAGCCAAAAUAACUCAAUCUGUCUGAGUUGUAUUUUUUAUCAGUCGACUGAAGAUGAAUAAUAUUCAGGCUACAAGUUUAUCAAAGAGUUAAUAGAGAUGGAGUCCAUGUUGCCUCGCCUGGUCUUGGACUAUUGGCCUCAAGCGAUCAUCCUACCUCAGCCUCUCAAAGUGCUAGCAUUCAAGCUCACAAACAAGAGUUUUGAACCUAGGCAGGCUAAGCAGUGAUCUUGAGGACUGAAAGGGGAAACUGCUGUCAAUUAAUAGGACAUCAAACACCCAUACUCUACUGGAAAAAUGUGUCCACAGACAUUUGCUUGAGAGGAGGAGGUGGCUGGUGAAGAGCCCUAUGGUUGCUCUCCUGUGUCUUCACUCUUAGCAGCUACAACAUGCACAAGAUUCAGUGCAUUCAAUAAUUAGUUCUCAGCAUCCUGUGAACUGGCGAUCUAUUUCCAGAAUGAUUUAGUGCAGUUUCCUCUAAGUCCAUGCUAAAAGAGGAAAUAAUUAGGCUCAGAAGCAUUUAACUUAAAACUGGUGUUUCUACUUAUCUACAAUGACUGUGCUAAUUAGGCCUCUCAUAAAUUUCUCUGACAUACUUCACUCUACAACCUCGAGCCUUUACCUCAUGUGUUCCCCUGGGAUCUAGAAUGGUGCUGGAAAACCACUGAGAUGGGAGCCUCUUAGUCUGGACUCCCUGGAGGAAGAGUAAUUCACUUAAGGUUACGACACUCUUAUAUAAACAUAUUCAAACAUGAUUUUUUUUUUUUUGCCCUAACUGCAUAUUCAAGUCAAUCUGCUAGGGGUAAAAAAAUGUUGGCCUAGGCCGGGCGCGGUGGCUCACGCCUG
rnacentral:lncRNA from 1 species